rnacentral:rRNA from 1 species
UACAGAGGUCUCAACCGUUGUUCGGAUUCAUUGGGCGUAAAGGGUGCGUAGGCGGUCGGGUAAGUCGGAUGUGAAAUCUCAGGGCUCAACCCUGAAACUGCAUUCGAUACUGCUUGGCUAGGGUACUGGAGAGGAGACUGGAAUUUACGGUGUAGCAGUGAAAUGCGUAGAUAUCGUAAGGAAGACCAGUGGCGAAGGCGAGUCUCUGGACAGUUACCGACGCUGAGGCACGAAGGCCAGGGGAGCAAACGGG